GACGAACGCUGGCGGCGUGCUUAACACAUGCAAGUCGAACGGUAAGGCUCCAGCUUGCUGGGUUACACGAGUGGCGAACGGGUGAGUAACACGUGGGUGACCUGCCCUGCACUUCGGGAUAAGCCUGGGAAACUGGGUCUAAUACCGGAUAGGACCUUGGUGUGGAUACUGUGGUGGAAAGUUUUUUCGGUUUGGGAUCGUCCCGCGGCCUAUCAGCUUGUUGGUGGGUGAAUGGCCUACCAAGGCGGCGACGGGUAGCCGGCAUGAGAGGGUGGACGGCCACAUUGGGACUGAGACACGGACCAGACUCCUACGGGAGGCAGCAGGGGGGAAUAUUGCACAAUGGGCGGAAGCGUGAUGCAGAGACGCCGCGUGGGGGAUGACGGGCUUCGGGUUGUAAACACAUUUCACAAUAGACGAAGGGUUUUUGACGGUAGAUGGAGAAGAAGCAACGGCUAACUACGUG
rnacentral:rRNA from 1 species